CAAGUUUGCAUCUCCUUUUCCUUAAUUUAGAUUAGUUAAUUAACGAUAUUGCACCAAUAAAAAAAGGAACUAGUCAAAAAGGUAGAAUCUUUUUUUUAUUCCUUCUUUUUAUUUGUAGAGCUUUAGUGCGAAACACGAAUGUUAUGCCAUGUUCUUUUGAAACUUUUAUGUCAUUCAUUGUCGUCGAAUAUACUUCUGAGAUAUGGUUGUGCUCUAUAUUGUGGAUUUUUUUGUGUGUUAAUUUUUGGGGGUUGGGGGUUUGAUUGAGGCAGAUAUGGAUGCCAGUACAGGUCCAAGUCUCUACCCGUUGCACCGGUCUAAAACUCUUCACCUGGUAAGGCAUGGACAAGGGAUUCACAACGUGGAAGGCGAGAAGGAUCAAUCGGCAUACUUGUCUUAUGAUCUUUUUGAUGCACAUCUUACCCCUCUUGGCUGGAGUCAGGUUGAUAAUCUGCACAAGCAUGUUCAAGCAUGUGGACUUUUCAAGAAAAUUGAUUUGGUCAUAACAUCUCCUUUGUUAAGGACCAUGCAGACAGCAGUGGGUGUUUUUGGGGGUGAAGCAUACACAGAUGGGAUAGAUGUACCUCCUCUAAUGGUUGCAAAUGCUGGGAACAGUAACCAUCCUGCAAUUUCAAGUCUAAACUCCCCACCAUUUAUAGCAGUGGAGCUUUGCCGCGAACAUUUGGGUGUUCAUCCAUGUGACAAGAGGAGAAGCAUUAGCGAGUAUCGGCCUCUUUUUCCUGCAAUUGAUUUUUCACUGAUAGAAAAUGAGGACGACAUUUUGUGGACACCUGACAUUAAAGAGAAAACUGAACAACUGGAAGCUAGGGGAGUGGAGUUUUUGAACUGGUUGUGGACGCGUAAAGAGAAGGAGAUUGCAAUUGUUAGUCACAGUGAAUUCUUGUUUCAUACCUUGAGUGCUUUUGGAAAUGAUUGCCACCCGUCUAUCAAGAGCGAAAUAUGCACUCCGUAAGUGUUAUGGUGGUUGUUUUAUCCCAACUUUUAAGUCAAGAGCAUGCACAUUACAUUCUGCAGCACAGGCUUUGCUAAUUGUGAGCUUCGUUCAGUGGUGUUUGUUGAUAGGAGUUUAAUGGGGUCUGAUUCUUCAAUAACUAAUUAUCCUGGAAAGAUCCCUCGUGGGCCUGAUCUUCCUAGUGACGUUGCUGAUGAGAAGAAGUCAGAGAAGGGCGCUUCCGUGUAAUUAUAUGCACGCCACGAUGAUGGAUGGACAGUCUUACAUAAAUAAUACCAGAUAUCCUAUUGGCAAUAAA